rnacentral:rRNA from 1 species
GUGUCAGCCGCCGCGGUAAAACGUAGGAGACAAGCGUUAUCCGGAGUUACUGGGCGUAAAGGGCGUGCAGGCGGCUGAGUAAGUCUGUUGUGAAAGCGCCUGGCUUAACCGGGCGAGGCCAAUGGAGACUGCUUGGCUGGAGGACGGCUGAGGGAUGUGGAAUUCCGGGUGUAGUGGUGAAAUGCGUAGAGAUCCGGAGGAACACCAGAGGCGAAGGCGGCAUCCUAAGCCGUACCUGACGCUGAGACGCGACAGCACGGGGAGCGAACGGGAUUAGAAACCCGCGUAGUCC